GGGUUGCUGCCUCUAAGAAAUAAAGCAUCACUGGAUCCAUUCAAGACCAUAUCAAAGGGUUGAGAAAUAUUAGGAUGAGUCCCAUUGGUAGACAUAAUUGUAUGAAAAAAAUAGGAAACCCAAAGAAGAAAUAAAGAAACCUAUCAUAGAGGCAAAAUGUGCAAAAAUAGAUGCUAAAAAUAGAACCAAUGCAUUAAAAUUAGGCAUAGAUAGGUUUCUGAGAC
rnacentral:lncRNA from 1 species